CCUGUUUUCGUGCAGCCGACCGCCAGUGCGAUGGGACGCUUCGUUCGGAAGAUCUCGAGACUGCGGCUCGGCAUAUUCGGUGGGUUGUAUCGCAUAGCCGAGAUGCGGCGACUCGGUCACCCUACGUUAGUAACRUGCCGUUCUACUCUCUCGCUCCCCUCGGGGCGGGCGAGAAGGGAGAAGAGCGGCCCCCUUACGACGUCCAGUGCGUCCUCGGCGGCGCGUGCGGCCUGCCUGCACCGUUGCGUGCGUGCGGCGUGCUUGCGCCGUCCGGCCCUNNGGACCGUNGUGNNNUUACGGAUGCAGUGAAUCGGAUGGGGUCGGRU
rnacentral:misc_RNA from 1 species